UGGAAGUUGACAGCGACUACUCAAGA
rnacentral:piRNA from 1 species